UGGUCAGUCAGGCUCCUGGCUGAAUCCAGGACUUAUCUGGUCCUGGGUGUACCCAAAGCCCAACUGUAUG
rfam:Rattus norvegicus chromosome 1, whole genome shotgun sequence.